UUACUGAUCACUGAAAUAGCUCUCUUUUUCCCUUUAUGAGUGGAAAACUGGAAUAAGUUAUAAAUUUCAUACCAUGUUAAGAUUAUUAAUCCUGAGACCAGCCAGCAAUGAUCUGUAUGUUGAUAACUCAUGAAGACAGUUUUUUUUUUUUUUUGGGGGUGGGGGGGGUGGGUUUGGGGUUUGUAAAUCAUGAAGAUAGUCCUACUGUUACAGAAAACGAAGGGAUUUACACCCUUUUUGAUGAAAGCAUUUUUACAUAUUGAUAAGAAGACCUGUUUUAAUCUGUUAAAACCCAUCUUUAUUCACUAACCUCUGAUCUGUUUUUAUA